rnacentral:rRNA from 1 species
GAUGAACGCUGGCGGCGUGCCUAAUACAUGCAAGUCGAGCGAACAGAUGAGGAGCUUGCUCCUCUGACGUUAGCGGCGGACGGGUGAGUAACACGUGGAUAACCUACCUAUAAGACUGGGAUAACUUCGGGAAACCGGAGCUAAUACCGGAUAAUAUAUUGAACCGCAUGGUUCAAUAGUGAAAGACGGUUUUGCUGUCACUUAUAGAUGGAUCCGCGCCGCAUUAGCUAGUUGGUAAGGUAACGGCUUACCAAGGCAACGAUGCGUAGCCGACCUGAGAGGGUGAUCGGCCACACUGGAACUGAGCCACGGUCCAGACUCCUACGGGAGGCAGCAGUAGGGAAUCUUCCGCAAUGGGCGAAAGCCUGACGGAGCAACGCCGCGUGAGUGAUGAAGGUCUUCGGAUCGUAAAACUCUGUUAUUAGGGAAGAACAAAUGUGUAAGUAACUAUGCACGUCUUGACGGUACCUAAUCAGAAAGCCACGGCUAACUACGUG